CAGUAGCCGCGGGAAUACGGAAGGUUCGGGCGUUAUCCGGAUUUAUUGGGUUUAAAGGGAGCGUAGGCCGGAGAUUAAGUGUGUUGUGAAAUGUAGACGCUCAACGUCUGACUUGCAGCGCAUACUGGUUUCCUUGAGUACGCACAACGUUGGCGGAAUUCGUCGUGUAGCGGUGAAAUGCUUAGAUAUGACGAAGAACUCCGAUUGCGAAGGCAGCUGACGGGAGCGCCACUGACGCUUAAGCUCGAAGGUGCGGGUAUCGAACAGGAUUAGAUACCCCCGUAGUCCCUGUCUCUUAUAC
rnacentral:rRNA from 1 species